UUGGAUGCGCGACCCUGCAGGUGC
rnacentral:miRNA from 1 species